UACGUAGGGGGCAAGCGUUGUCCGGAUUCAUUGGGCGUAAAGAGCGUGUAGGCGGCCAGGUAGGUCGGUUGUGAAAACUGGAGGCUCAACCUUCAGAGGUCGACCGAAACCAUCUGGCUAGAGUCCGGGAGAGGAGAGUGGAAUUCCUGGUGUAGCGGUGAAAUGCGCAGAUAUCAGGAAGAACACCCGUGGCGAAAGCGGCUCCCUGGAACGGUACUGACGCUGAGACGCGAAAGCGUGGGGAUCAAACAGG
rnacentral:rRNA from 1 species